CCUACGGGUGGCAGCAGUGAGGAAUAUUGGUCAAUGGGCGCAAGCCUGAACCAGCCAAGUCGCGUGAGGGAUGACGGUCCUAUGGAUUGUAAACCUCUUUUGUCGGGGAGCAAGGCCCGCCACGUGUGGCGGGAAGGAGAGUACCCGAAGAAAAAGCAUCGGCUAACUCCGUGCCAGCAGCCGCGGUAAUACGGAGGAUGCGAGCGUUAUCCGGAUUUAUUGGGUUUAAAGGGAGCGUAGGUGGAUUGUUAAGUCAGUUGUGAAAGUUUGCGGCUCAACCGUAAAAUUGCAGUUGAAACUGGCAGUCUUGAGUACAGUAGAGGUGGGCGGAAUUCGUGGUGUAGCGGUGAAAUGCUUAGAUAUCACGAAGAACUCCGAUUGCGAAGGCAGCUCACUGGACUGCAACUGACACUGAGGCUCGAAAGUGUGGGUAUCAAACAGGAUUAGAUACCCUUGUAGUC
rnacentral:rRNA from 1 species